UACGUAGGGCGCAAGCGUUAUCCGGAAUUAUUGGGCGUAAAGAGCUCGUAGGCGGUUUGUUGCGUCGGCCGUGAAAACCUGCAGCUUAACUGUGGGCCUGCGGCCGAUACGGGCAGACUUGAGUUCGGUAGGGGAGUGGGGAAUUCCUGGUGUAGCGGUGAAAUGCGCAGAUAUCAGGAGGAACACCGGUGGCGAAGGCGCCACUCUGGGCCGAAACUGACGCUGAGGAGCGAAAGCGUGGGUAGCAAACAGG
rnacentral:rRNA from 1 species